rnacentral:rRNA from 1 species
GACGUAGGGCGCGAGCGUUGUCCGGAUUUAUUGGGCGUAAAGAGCUCGUAGGCGGUGUGUCGCGUCGGUCGUGAAAACUUGGGGCUUAACCCUGAGCUUGCGGUCGAUACGGGCAUCACUGGAGUUCGGCAGGGGAGACUGGAAUUCCUGGUGUAGCGGUGGAAUGCGCAGAUAUCAGGAGGAACACCGAGUGGCGAAGGCAGGUCUCGUGGGCUGAGCU